rnacentral:rRNA from 1 species
AUAAUGGGUCAGCGACUUAUAUUCUGUAGCAAGGUUAACCGAAUAGGGGAGCCGAAGGGAAACCGAGUCUUAACUGGGCGUUAAGUUGCAGGGUAUAGACCCGAAACCCGGUGAUCUAGCCAUGGGCAGGUUGAAGGUUGGGUAACACUAACUGGAGGACCGAACCGACUAAUGUUGAAAAAUUAGCGGAUGACUUGUGGCUGGGGGUGAAAGGCCAAUCAAACCGGGAGAUAGCUGGUUCUCCCCGAAAGCUAUUUAGGUAGCGCCUCGUGAAUUCAUCUCCGGGGGUAGAGCACUGUUUCGGCAAGGGGGUCAUCCCGACUUACCAACCCGAUGCAAACUGCGAAUACCGGAGAAUGUUAUCACGGGAGACACACGGCGGGUGCUAACGUCCGUCGUGAAGAGGGAAACAACCCAGACCGCCAGCUAAGGUCCCAAAGUCAUGGUUAAGUGGGAAACGAUGUGGGAAGGCCCAGACAGCCAGGAUGUUGGCUUAGAAGCAGCCAUCAUUUAAAGAAAGCGUAAUAGCUCACUGGUCGAGUCGGCCUGCGCGGAAGAUGUAACGGGGCUAAACCAUGCACCGAAGCUGCGGCAGCGACGCUGAUGCGUUGUUGGGUAGGGGAGCGUUCUGUAAGCCUGUGAAGGUGUGCUGUGAGGCAUGCUGGAGGUAUCAGAAGUGCGAAUGCUGACAUAAGUAACGAUAAAGCGGGUGAAAAGCCCGCUCGCCGGAAGACCAAGGGUUCCUGUCCAACGUUAAUCGGGGCAGGGUGAGUCGACCCCUAAGGCGAGGCCGAAAGGCGUAGUCGAUGGGAAACAGGUUAAUAUUCCUGUACUUGGUGUUACUGCGAAGGGGGGACGGAGAAGGCUAUGUUGGCCGGGCGACGGUUGUCCCGGUUUAAGCGUGUAGGCUGGUUUUCCAGGCAAAUCCGGAAAACUAAGGCUGAGGCGUGAUGACGAGGCACUACGGUGCUGAAGCAACAAAUGCCCUGCUUCCAGGAAAAGCCUCUAAGCAUCAGGUAACAUCAAAUCGUACCCCAAACCGACACAGGUGGUCAGGUAGAGAAUACCAAGGCGCUUGAGAGAACUCGGGUGAAGGAACUAGGCAAAAUGGUGCCGUAACUUCGGGAGAAGGCACGCUGAUAUGUAGGUGAAGUCCCUCGCGGAUGGAGCUGAAAUCAGUCGAAGAUACCAGCUGGCUGCAACUGUUUAUUAAAAACACAGCACUGUGCAAACACGAAAGUGGACGUAUACGGUGUGACGCCUGCCCGGUGCCGGAAGGUUAAUUGAUGGGGUCAGCGCAAGCGAAGCUCUUGAUCGAAGCCCCGGUAAACGGCGGCCGUAACUAUAACGGUCCUAAGGUAGCGAAAUUCCUUGUCGGGUAAGUUCCGACCUGCACGAAUGGCGUAAUGAUGGCCAGGCUGUCUCCACCCGAGACUCAGUGAAAUUGAACUCGCUGUGAAGAUGCAGUGUACCCGCGGCAAGACGGAAAGACCCCGUGAACCUUUACUAUAGCUUGACACUGAACAUUGAGCCUUGAUGUGUAGGAUAGGUGGGAGGCUUUGAAGUGUGGACGCCAGUCUGCAUGGAGCCGACCUUGAAAUACCACCCUUUAAUGUUUGAUGUUCUAACGUUGACCCGUAAUCCGGGUUGCGGACAGUGUCUGGUGGGUAGUUUGACUGGGGCGGUCUCCUCCUAAAGAGUAACGGAGGAGCACGAAGGUUGGCUAAUCCUGGUCGGACAUCAGGAGGUUAGUGCAAUGGCAUAAGCCAGCUUGACUGCGAGCGUGACGGCGCGAGCAGGUGCGAAAGCAGGUCAUAGUGAUCCGGUGGUUCUGAAUGGAAGGGCCAUCGCUCAACGGAUAAAAGGUACUCCGGGGAUAACAGGCUGAUACCGCCCAAGAGUUCAUAUCGACGGCGGUGUUUGGCACCUCGAUGUCGGCUCAUCACAUCCUGGGGCUGAAGUAGGUCCCAAGGGUAUGGCUGUUCGCCAUUUAAAGUGGUACGCGAGCUGGGUUUAGAACGUCGUGAGACAGUUCGGUCCCUAUCUGCCGUGGGCGCUGGAGAACUGAGGGGGGCUGCUCCUAGUACGAGAGGACCGGAGUGGACGCAUCACUGGUGUUCGGGUUGUCAUGCCAAUGGCACUGCCCGGUAGCUAAAUGCGGAAGAGAUAAGUGCUGAAAGCAUCUAAGCACGAAACUUGCCCCGAGAUGAGUUCUCCCUGACUCCUUGAGAGUCCUGAAGGAACGUUGAAGACGACGACGUUGAUAGGCCGGGUGUGUAAGCGCAGCGAUGCGUUGAGCUAAC